CAGAGGAAGACAGCCACUGUGACUGACACCACCAGGACGCCGGCACCCAGGAAGCCCGCCAGCACUGGGGACACCUCUGAGAGGGGCCAGUAGGAGCCGGAGGAAGAGAGAGAGAGCCAAGACACAGAAAGUGGGGCCCCUGUUCUGCCAAGCUGGUCAGUCGCAGCUGACUGGAAUUCCAAGUUCACCCAGGAACCCUGAAGCGGAUGAGAACAGGAUGUGUGUUCCAACAUCCCCACACAAGGAGUCCUUAACCAGACGCCAGCCAACACCAGAGACUUGGGCGGGCGGAAGUACACACAUAUCCUGGCAGUCACACACAUACACACACCUACGCACAAACACACAAACCCACGUACAGUACUCGCACUAACCAUCAAAUAUUAACGAUCUGAGAGACAGAAUCGUUACAGUUCACUCAGGCAGAAUACCGUACAUGAUAACAGAGCUCACAUGAACAUAUCUGUGCUCCUUAGCUAUUUAUUAGGGUGAACUCAAAAUGGAGAAGUUGUUCAGCCUCUCUGGAUUCCCUUGACAGAGGCCAUGAGACUGCCUCUGGGAAGCAGACUGGCUCUGGGCAGUAUAUAAUAUUUUCUUGUCCAUUGCUUGACAUGUCAUCAUUUACAUCUUCAGUAGCUGGCUACUUUUGUAUUGGUUGUAAUGUAACACAUCCUUAUAGUACAUUCACACUGUUCGCGAUGGCUUGAUUCAUUUCAAUUAAGGGAAGCGUAGCGAGCGAGUGGCUUGCGGUGCGAUGCGUGGGAUCCGUCAGAGGCAAUGAAAAAGUUCAGACUUCCCAACUUUAUGCAAAUCACCCGCGCCUACCACUGGGGACUGACCAAUCACGGGAUUUUGCAUAGGUGGUUGUUAAAUGCUCUCCUCACAAUAAAAAAUAACAGAUAA